rnacentral:lncRNA from 1 species
UAAGUAAGUAAGUUCUUCUGGAACUCUGUCACACCCAGACUUUGUUCCAGUAUUGGUUUAAAAUAUAUUCUGUUUUUUAAGGCUACGUAAUUGUAUAUUUUUUCUUAGCAAUCACAAUCCUUAGCUGAAUUUAUUGAAGCACUUUGAAAGCUCCUGUGUCUGACUGUGAUUCUUACCCUGUCAUUUAUGUGGCAUUCUAGAAAGGACCUUAAUUGUGGAAGUGGUGAAGUGACACCUACAGCGCCAGCAGGACCGUCAGCAGAAGGCAUGCAGCAAAAGCGGGAUGUGUGCUGGCUGCCUCAGCUUGUGCUCCCCUUCUAGGAGAGGUACAACCUCAGAACUACUAAACAAUAACCCGAGGCUCUGAUGAGAAACCUAACAAGAGCGAUAGGCUGCUUUUCCUUCCACUGAAGAACGCACAUGCAGAGAUCACUCAUUGCCAGCAAACAGGAGAACUUCAACAAGAGAGAGCCCUGCCAAGAGAAGCCACCUUGACCUUCACAAACACAUGGAAGGAGUCCUCCAGGUUUCGGGGUCUGGGUUUCUACAUUUCAUUCAGCUUUUUUUUGUCAACACCCAGUCUGUGUUUGGGGAAACAAGAAGCGGAAAAGGGAGGCUGCAACUCUGGUAUGCAAUUGGGUCUUUCGGGGCACUCAAAGGGAUGAGAAAACUUUUGUUGGAACAGAAGCACAGAAUUGGUCACCUUACUGCUCGUGAGUGCGUUAAGGGCUUCUGCUGAAACAUCUGUCCUGGGAGUGCUCGCUCUUCUGAAAAGGGCAGCUGCCUCACUUCUGCUGAUUGUAUUUACAAAGGGCAAAGGCAGUUUUUGCUGUACCCUUAAUGGACAGAGGCUAGUGGCAGUUCUUGCUCUUUCAUAAAUCUCACCAUUCCUACUGGUGUCUGCUGUCAGAAUCGAUUAGGAGUAAGUGCUCGGGCUGCAGAGCCGUGGAGAGGCAGAGCAGCCCAGCACGGAGCCAGGCAGGAGCUCCUCCAGCGCUGGCUGCAGCCUGGCCGUGUCCCCAGGCAGCGGGGGGAGGCAGCCCCUGGCCCUGCUCCUUACAGCAGGAGACAGCACGCCUGCAACGGCUGAGCUGGGAAGCGUGAGCGAUGGCUGCUAGGGGCCAGAGCUGAGUCAUCUGUAAUAUAAUCAUAAGGAAACACACAUUUUUCCUGAGAGAAAAUCAAUAGAACUUUGCACUUUUCCUUGUAAUAUUUCCAGCCUGUGCCAUCAGCCAUAGUUUGCUCACAGUUAUACUGCUAUAAAUUCACUGCAAGUUAAUGGAUUUCAACAAAAAUGAAUGGAUUUACAACAGCGUAAUAGAUCUAAUGUUAGAGCCGUGCACAUGCAAAAAUACGUGGAACAAAAGCAGAUUUUACACCGCACGGAUCACCCUCAAGAUGCCAAGACCUUGCAAGGAGAAAGCAGAACUGCCUGCUGCCAGCAAAGACUGAUUGGAGGGGUGUGGUGGGAAUAUGGAGUUGCAGUGAAAGCGCUGCCUGAUUCCAAUGGCCACUCCUUCCCCGGAGCAGAUGGGCUCUGCCAGCACUCAGCCCUGCAGCCCCGGGCAUCUGCACCACCAGGUAAGGGAGGAACCAUGCUACAAGCCCUGGGAGGCAACUAAUAUACCAAUAUACACAAAUUAUUCCUGAUUAAGAGCGUUUGGAUGGUAAAAUACUCACUGGAAGGAAAAGACGUGGGAUUUUCUUUUCACAAUUUUGGGCUUCUCUGGUGUUUUUGUUCCCUAGCAAAAUGCCCACAGGGGAGGUGUUUGGCUUUAAUCCACACGGGAGCUGCAGUCGCAGCAAAAUUACCUGGUCCUGAAGUGAAGGGAGUGGGAGUAAGGCUAUGAGAAACCCAGCAAGGCACCAGGGCUGCGGUGCCUCCUAUGCUGCACAGCCCGUCCCACAGGCACAGCCCUGGGCUUGACAGGGCAGGAAUGAGGGUGGCAUUCUUUUUUAGGUGACGUUUCUGAAACCCAACAAUGUCUCUUAAGUAAAAGAUGGAUUUUACUGUAUAUAGAACCAGCCAGGAAAAGUAAUUUGGAUGAGAUCACCAACAAUACAAAGCAUGGCUGGAAAAAAUGGCCUUUUCUAAGGUUCUAUGCCAAUGUUAACCAAUGAACUGAAGUUUUCUAUUUUACCUUUGUUGUCUGUUAGCCUUAUAAUAAUUACAGUCAUUACCAGCAUUCUAAACAUAUCAGUUAUAUUAAAAGUUGAAUCAAAGAG